UAAUUACUACUUUAUGUUACAUUAUGAAAUUUGGUUUACAGUUGAUAUAAAAGACUCAACAAACAUUACAUGUGACCUUUCACACUUGUCACUUAUUCAUUAUUGUUUAUUCACCAUUGCUUCCGAUUUUGGUCCACUAUUGCUUCCGUUAGUUUCUGUUGCUUUCUUCAUCAUCCCAUGUGGGAUUUUUGUUGUGAGCUUGUUCUUCUUCCCAAUCUUGUAAUUUUGUGCAAAUAUUUGAUCUUUAUCUAUGAGUUCUGGUGGAGGUAUCAUUUUGUAGUGGCUGAGAUUCUUCAUGAAGCCAUUCUUCCCCUUGGUUGCCAUUUUUCAACCAUCUUUCUUCCCAUUCUGGCAAUCCUGAAAGUCCCCAUGGUGGUGUUAUUUCGCAUGCCCUUCCAUGUUCUUGGAGCCAAUCAUCAUAUCAUCCUCUCAUUUCAAUUUGUAAUGAUCGACUCCAUGAAUAUUUUGUUGUCAUAUUUCUUCCAUGUGUUAGAGAUGAGACCACGGUAGCUGUCGAAGACGGGAUGAGAGAGAGAAAUGAAACCACGAUAGUUGUAGGAGACGGGAUGAGAGAGACAAGGAUGAUUGGAUGUGGGAGAAGAGAGAGUGAGGAAGCGAGAUGAGAUAGAGAGUCGAGUUAGUUUGCUUGAGAGUGUUGAUUUAGGCAUUAUAAUUUUAGUAUUUUAUAGUGAG
rnacentral:lncRNA from 1 species